UUGGAACACUAGGGGUGCCUGUUUUAGGCUGAGAGGCUAUCUAGCUGACCCUUAAACCUGAUCUAGAUAAUGCUAGCGCAGGAAAGUGGUUAGAUACUAAA
rnacentral:ncRNA from 1 species